GGGCGGUUAGCUCAGUUGGUUAGAGCACCUGCCUUUUAAGCAGGGAGUCCGGAGUUCGAAUCUCCGACCGCUCACCA
rnacentral:tRNA from 1 species